GGAUUGUGGCUCAGUGGUAGAGCGCUCGCCUCGCACGUGAGAGGCCCUGGGUUCGAUCCCCAGCACCA
rnacentral:tRNA from 1 species